AUGGAAGUGCGGGUGCUAUAAUGCAGUCGAGCGAACGGACGAGAAGCUUGCUUCUCUGAUGUUAGCGGCGGACGGGUGAGUAACACGUGGAUAACCUACCUAUAAGACUGGGAUAACUUCGGGAAACCGGAGCUAAUACCGGAUAAUAUUUUGAACCGCAUGGUUCAAAAGUGAAAGACGGUCUUGCUGUCACUUAUAGAUGGAUCCGCGCUGCAUUAGCUAGUUGGUAAGGUAACGGCUUACCAAGGCAACGAUGCAUAGCCGACCUGAGAGGGUGAUCGGCCACACUGGAACUGAGACACGGUCCAGACUCCUACGGGAGGCAGCAGUAGGGAAUCUUCCGCAAUGGGCGAAAGCCUGACGGAGCAACGCCGCGUGAGUGAUGAAGGUCUUCGGAUCGUAAAACUCUGUUAUUAGGGAAGAACAUAUGUGUAAGUAACUGUGCACAUCUUGACGGUACCUAAUCAGAAAGCCACGGCUAACUACGUGCCAGCAGCCGCGGUAAUACGUAGGUGGCAAGCGUUAUCCGGAAUUAUUGGGCGUAAAGCGCGCGUAGGCGGUUUUUUAAGUCUGAUGUGAAAGCCCACGGCUCAACCGUGGAGGGUCAUUGGAAACUGGAAAACUUGAGUGCAGAAGAGGAAAGUGGAAUUCCAUGUGUAGCGGUGAAAUGCGCAGAGAUAUGGAGGAACACCAGUGGCGAAGCGACUUUCUGGUCUGUAACUGACGCUGAUGUGCGAAAGCGUGGGGAUCAAACAGGAUUAGAUACCCUGGUAGUCCACGCCGUAACGAUGAGUGCUAAGUGUUAGGGGGUUUCCGCCCCUUAGUGCUGCAGCUAACGCAUUAAGCACUCCUACCUGGGGAGUACGACCGCAAGGUUGAAACUCAGAAAAUUUGGCGCCGG
rnacentral:rRNA from 1 species